rnacentral:rRNA from 1 species
CCUACGGGCGGCAGCAGUAGGGAAUCUUCCACAAUGGGCGAAAGCCUGAUGGAGCAACGCCGCGUGGGUGAAGAAGGUCUUCGGAUCGUAAAACCCUGUUGUUAGAGAAGAAAGUGCGUGAGAGUAACUGUUCACGUUUCGACGGUAUCUAACCAGCAAGCCACGGCUAACUACGUGCCAGCAGCCGCGGUAAUACGUAGGUGGCAAGCGUUAUCCGGAUUUAUUGGGGGUAAAGGGAACGCAGGCGGUCUUUUAAGUCUGAUGUGAAAGCCAUUGGCUUAACCGGAGUAGUGCAUUGGAAACUGGGAGACUUGGGUGCAGAAGAGGAGAGGGGAACUCUGUGUGUAGCGGUGAAAUGGGUGGAUAAAUG